AUGAAGAGGUUGCAUCUCUUAUCAGUAGUCCGCAACAGGUGAAUGAGCACCGCACGGCGGGUGAAAGGAAGGGAUGCCGAAACAGAUUCCGGCUUAUUCCGACGAUCUGUUGGGUCAUGACUGAAGAAGUUAUGGACUGUCGCUAAAAUGCGGGGCGCUUCC
rnacentral:ncRNA from 1 species